rnacentral:lncRNA from 1 species
ACGCUGUAUCAAGUCCCGCCUCCUUUACCAGGAUUGACAGACCCAACAUCCAAUCACAGCCCUGAACCACAAACAAAAGGCAAUCUCUACCAUUUGAUUGGUGGAGCCUCUUGGAGGCUGGGAGAAGCCUGAAAGGUUGAAGUCAGGGAAACAAAAUCUCCACAUGAAACGCGGAAAGAAGGAGAAAACAGUGAGAACUGUAAAAUAUACCAACAAGACAUAACGCUGAACACAGUCACGGGGAAACGCUUCAAAGACAUAAGCUAACAUCAUGCCAAGGAAGAAGGACACUGUUAAGGGUGGAGCUCCUAUAGCUAGAAUCCGAGAGAACUCGAGGCUCAUGCGCACACAUGAAACUAUGGUAGACUUCAUAAAUGGACAUCAUUCUGCAAACUCUAUCCUGGAUGUCUUUGCCUCUGGUUUAUUAGGUUUAGAUUUGUUACGGACGUUUGAGGGCGAACUGGAGGACGACAUCAUAUACACUGAUGAUGACGACGAUGAUGACGAUGAUGAAGAUGAUCACUUUUAUCAACAAAAUGCUGCUCAGAGGCCUUUAGAACCACAUCCACGAAUAAAACAACUCACUGACGAGGAGGCUGAUAAACAGGCAAAGGAAUUGUUAGAAGAAGAGGAACGGCGUAAGGAGAAAACUGAGAAGAACAAGCGUAAGAAAUUGCGUAAGAAACUAAAGAAGCGGUUAGGAAAGGAGAAUGCAGUUAAAGACAUUUUACCUGAAGAACAAGGGAAGUCGGGCUCGUCAGAAAAUCCUGUUAUUGAAAGUAAUGCAGAAGCAAAUGAAUCUCUCAAACCUGUUAAAACACACAAUGGAGAUGCGGCGGAGAGCAGUUCUAAUAAUAAAGAAGAAAAUGUUGCGGAGAUGAAUGCAAAAGAAGAUGAGAAGCAGGAUUUGAAUAUAAAUAUUUCAUAUGCAUCUACGACAAAAUUGGAGCCCGAGGUGAUGUGUGAUGAGAGGCCUGCGAGAGAGGAACAAAAGAAAACAACUAAAUUACUGGAAGUUCAGCAGCUCGAGGAGGAAAAACCAAAAGUUGUGGAGAAACCUGAAGUUAAAAGAAAGAAAGAGAAACAUGAAGAGAAGCCGAUGGAUCCCACUGCAGAAGAGUUGGCAAAGAGAAGCAGAGAGCUUGCUGGUAUGGGAAAUCGUUUGGCUGCCUCCAGUCAGUACGAGAUGGCCGUGAAAUGCUUUACCGACGCCAUUAAAUACAACCCAAAGGAAUUUAAGUAAGAACAUGGACUUGAAUGGACUUCCCACACAGAAGCAGUUACUGGUAAUCAGCAGGAAUCACAUUUACUCUGCCUUUCAGGUUAUUUGGAAAUCGCUC